rnacentral:rRNA from 1 species
GGGAAACCUGAUGCAGCAACGCCGCGUGAGUGAUGACGGCCUUCGGGUUGUAAAGCUCUGUCUUCAGGGACGAUAAUGACGGUACCUGAGGAGGAAGCCACGGCUAACUACGUGCCAGCAGCCGCGGUAAAACGUAGGUGGCAAGCGUUGUCCGGAAUUACUGGGUGUAAAGGGAGCGCAGGCGGACCGGCAAGUUGGAAGUGAAAACUAUGGGCUCAACCCAUAAACUGCUUUCAAAACUGCUGGCCUUGAGUAGUGCAGAGGUAGGCGGAAUUCCCGGUGUAGCGGUGGAAUGCGUAGAUAUCGGGAGGAACACCAGUGGCGAAGGCGGCCUACUGGGCACCAACUGACGCUGAGGCUCGAAAGUGUGGGUAGCAAACAGGAUUAGAUACCCUGGUAGUCCACACCGUAAACGAUGAUUACUAGGUGUUGGAGGAUUGACCCCUUCAGUGCCGCAGUUAACACAAUAAGUAAUCCACCUGGGGAGUACGACCGCAAGGUUGAAACUCAAAGGAAUUGACGGGGGCCCGCACAAGCAGUGGAGUAUGUGGUUUAAUUCGAUGCAACGCGAAGAACCUUACCAGGUCUUGACAUCCGAUGCAUAGCACAGAGAUGUGUGAAGUCCUUCGGGACAUCGAGACAGGUGGUGCAUGGUUGUCGUCAGCUCGUGUCGUGAGAUGUUGGGUUAAGUCCCGCAACGAGCGCAACCCUUAUGGUCAGUUACUACGCAAGAGGACUCUGGCCAGACUGCCGUUGACAAAACGGAGGAAGGUGGGGAUGACGUCAAAUCAUCAUGCCCUUUAUGACUUGGGCUACACACGUACUACAAUGGCGUUAAACAAAGAGAAGCAAGACCGCGAGGUGGAGCAAAACUCAGAAACAACGUCCCAGUUCGGACUGCAGGCUGCAACUCGCCAGCACGAAGUCGGAAUGCUAGUAAU